GCCCUCGUUGUCUAAUGGUUAUGACGUCAGACUUCUACUCUUCGACUUGGAAAUCUGGAGGCUGUGGGUUCGAGUCCCACCGGGGGUA